UCUGUAUAAAUGUCUGUGAGAACAAAGAGCGAGUCGAAUUGGUUUUCCCAUGCAUGUUCAAAUAAAGCUUUUUGUAUAUUGAGAUCGGACUGCCUUCUUAGUGAUUUUUCCACCACAAUUCUUGGUGCUAUGACCCGGAUCGCUGCAGCAGGACCCAAACCCAUAUCGGCCCGCUGGGAACCUGACAACUUCUCCUGGCCAAAACUAAGAGAGACAUUCUCUUUAGGCUGCUCAUUGUAAGUCCCGCCUCCAGCCAGUGAGUUUUGGUAAAGACAGAGAAUGGACAGUUCGUGAUUAUCCACAGAAGUAUUUCUGCGUGCAUCUAAAAGAAAAGGUGUUCCGACACCAAGACGCCCAUCUUUGAAGCCCUGGAGCAGAUCACUGGAUACCUGGCUGGAACACAUGCUUGAUCCACAAGAGGGCGGCAAAGGUGCAAACAUGCCGCCUAACAUGCAAUCCAGCACCACUCAAUUUCAGGUCCAUAUCCAUAAAGACACCAGCAAUAAUAAGAAAAAACAAAACACUGACAUCUAUAUCCUCCUCCAAAAAACAAGGAAAUGUUCUGAGUUACUGGUGCUUCUCUCUUGGAUUCAGCAUCAUCCUCACCAGCUGGAACCUCUCCCCCCUCUCCUCCUUUACCUCUGAAAUGUAAAUGUGAGUGUGUUAUCAUCUCUGACUGUGAGUCAUCUGUCUAAAACACAUUGACUA